rnacentral:lncRNA from 1 species
CGGAGCCCAUCUAGAUUAGUAGAUACGAAGUCUCUAGAGUCUCUGAUGUCUGUCCGAAUCAGCUCAAGAGAAGAACAAAGCUGGCUAUGGAGUCUCUCUAUCUCUCGAGUUAAAUCAUCCUGCUGAGGUAAAAUGGUGGUCGAAGUGCUCGCUCCUCCAAUAGAGAAACUAAAAUCCAUCUGAUUUUCCUCUCGAUAUCAAAAAUCCUACCACUGAACUUG